rnacentral:lncRNA from 1 species
GCUUAGUGUGUUUAAUAAAUAAAUAAAGUAGCUAUGCUAAUCUGUAUCUAAUAAAACUUAAGCAUGGAUAUGAUGAAUAGUUGCUCUGCCUAAUUUGCAAAUUUGAAGUUCUCUCUCAAGUUUAGAUAUAACUGUUAUAAUUUAAGGCUUGCUCUAGACCUAAACUUGUGGGAUGAAAACUUGAUCUGAAGUCUAAGUUGUUAACGGAUACGAUAUGGGAAGGUUGAGCUGCUGUUCAUCUGUUCCUAGAGAUGCUAGAAUUCUGGAGAAUUUAUCUUUGAAAAAUCUUUAAAUUAACACAUGAUGAGUUCCUGUAUGAUGAGAGUUUAAAUUCCUACCACAGCCAUAUAUACAUGCUUGCUAGACCUUGAGCCACACAUUUACUAUUUACUGCUUAUGAGCAUUGAGUGUGGUCAAGCUGUGUAGACCCUUAGGAGCUUGUCAUGUGGUUAAAUCAAGAUUCACUUGCACGUUCACUCAUACAUGCUACUUCUACUCCGGAAGUACCAUCCACAUAUAUCCACUCAUUUCCAUCUCCAAAACCACCCAAAAGUAUUCUACUCCUAAUCCGGGAGCGAAUAACCAAAAAUAUUUUUGUUUCCCCUUGUGAAAUAAAUGCUCAAGUUAUCUUGUUACUACCACUUGCUAUAUUAUCUCAAGAGAUGAAUGCUCUGAAAAAAAAAGAGAAAAAGAAAAUAAAAGAUACGAGGAAAUAAAAAGGAGCAAGUGCUCGGAACCUCGAAAGAAAAGAAAAAGAAGAGCAUCUCAUUCUCCUCAUAAAGUUUCAAAAGCAAGGAAGGUAUGUAUCCCCUCAAAGAGCAAAGUAGAAUUAGGCUUCCACCACCAUUGUUAUCACCAUCAUCACCAUACACCAGUCAUUCGCCACACAUGCACAUCUUGAUUUGGCUUAUUGAUUUGUUUCUUUGGAUCCAUGGUUUGACUAUGCAAUAAAUGUCUUGUAAGUAUGUAUACUUUAUCUCCCACCUAUGAGCUCCAGAUAUUAAAGCCUUAUUAGAGUAGGGUGAGAGAGAAGACAAUGACACUAUGCUUCAUACCACAAAUACUACAUAUCUUGAGAGAAGGCAUAUACCAUCACUGUCUUGGUAAGGAUCCAAAAAUACCACAAAAGAGAGACCUGAGAGAAUCAUACAAGGAAUUUCUGAGUUUUAUUUGAAAAUCUGCAAAAACCCCAGAGCUAUAGCCGAUCAAGAAUAAGAGACAUGACACUUGGCUAGACUGUUCUAUCUUUUAACCACUCAAGACAGAAGUGACGGUUACAAGUCCUAUGGUGUAGGUAAAGUAAGUAAGUUUUAAGUCUUAACAGUUUAUUCUAACUCAAAGAUGAGAUCUUGCUUAAAUGCGUGUGUACUUCUAAGAAAUGAAACCACUGCAGAAACUCUUGAGUUCAUCCUUGCUCAGGGACGAGCAAGAGGUAAGCUUGGGGGAGUUUGUUGACGGUCCUUAAGUAUCAAACAUAAUCAUCAAAUAAAUAAAGAAAAGGAUCCAAAUGCAACCAACACCUAGACUUAUUGUUUUAUCUAACAGAAUUCCACGAGUUUUGGUGUUUGUCUAUUUCUGCAGGGGUUUAUUAGGAAAUAAGGAAGAAAGGCCCACAUGUUGGGAUUACAUAGAGAUAUCAACCCACCGCACAAUUUUCUACCAUCUAGAAGACUCCAAAAGCCACGGGAAGGAAGCGGAGCCCGAAAGGGGCCAGGCCCAGGGCGCCCGCCCUGAGGACCUGGGCGCCCGCCCCCCUCUGGACUCCGUUCCGGACUCUCUUCGCACACGACGUUCCACCGACCUAUUGGAUCCAGAAUAACAUAGUACCACCUCGUCUAUCGACCCAAAAACGCAUAGAAGGGGAGGACUAUAUAAGGAGACCCCCUCUGGCCCUGGAGAAGACAAGAAAUUAUCAUAGAGAUUGAGGGGUGCCCUCGAAGGAAAACCUCUUCUCUAAAUAAUAUUUCUUUUUAGGCUUAGCAACCAAUGUAAUGUAGAAAUAGAUCUUCUAGUUUCUACUAGAUUGAGAGAGAUAGAGUGGAGGUGUGGAUCGGAGGAAGGCCGGCCUGUCGGUGUCUACUCCGAGUCGUACCUACGGGAUC